CUGCCACUAUACAGCCUGAUCAGCAUGCAGUCAGAAAUGUUCGUCAUCUCGUUCCUAGGCUCUAAGGCACAGCAGUGAAGAGUAGAAUCAGCUCAGGGAUUACCUUUUCCUUAUCUGAAAGAAUGACUAUGACAGAUGAUUUGAAUAUUCACUGGGCCAAACCUUGCACGGACCAGGAAUUUGGAAACUCUUGAGUUUGGAAUCUCCCUUCUUCCUUAGUCAACAAACAUUUGGAGUCUCAGCCUGAGAAACAGGUUCCUGGAACUGAGAAUGAACCCCCUGAAGAAGAAACACUUCAGGAGACACCAAGCAAAGAGUAAAAAGUUGUAAGUGGAGAAAGAGCCAAAAAGGAAUUUUUCUAGUCCUUUUGGGAGACAGAAAAUUCUGUUUGGUUAAGGUACAGACUUCACUGAAAAAAGAUACUUAAUGACGACAUUUCUACUAUUUGCUUCUACUGUCCACUGUAUUAGUGAUGAUACAUUUACUUUGGUUUGUGAAUUCAGGGGCAAAAUUCACUUUAAUGGUUUGGAUUCAGGGAUAUGAAUUCCCUUCAUGUGUCUGCAAUCGGUUUGGCUUUACCCAGGAUUAUGUCUGUCCAGCUCUCAUCCUUCCCAUGUAAACUUGCACAAGGUGCUAUGUGGCUCAGUUGAUGUUUGUGAGGUUUUUGAGGCCUGCUGGAAGGGAAAGCACUUUUGUGCUGAUAUUAAAGUAAUUGAUUGAAGACUGAUCAUGAACAUUAUCAAAGCUCUCUAUGCCUUGCUCCUGUAAGACCUGAACUUGUGGGGAAUGCUCAUUGACAGAAGACGAAAAUCAGAACCAUAUUUCAAAAAUGCUUUCUAAGUCUAAUUCCCCCUCAGAGAGCUGAAUUCAGGCCUGCUCCCUUUUUCUGAACAUACAUCAAUAUGCACACAAUUUAGCACAAGAGAUGGGUCAUGUGACAGGUUCUUAUUGAUCCUUUUGUAAAAGUACUGGAAAAAGAAUAGAAAAGGCUUCUAGGACAGACAUAAAGGUCUUCAGUGGUAUUCAUCAUCAUAAGGACUUGGACUGGUAGGACAUUCCCAAUGGUGUGUGCUUUUAAUGAGUUCCUGCAAGAGUCCUAAAGGAUGGUAGCUGCAAUAGAACACUAAUAAGCACAACAGAAUGGACAAUGAGUAAGUUAAACCCUUUUUAUUCAGAGGUAAAUUAAUAUAGUCAUGCUUUUUCAAGCUGUUGAGAACUGCAGCUAGAGACAAACCACUGAACAUUGUAAGGCACACUUACAUCAGCAAGAAAAGUGCUGUGGUGAAAAAAUAAAUCAUGCAAGUCAAGAGUCAGAGUCAUGGAAGACAAAUUGAGAUUGCCAGAAAAAACUUAAUUUUUUUUUCCUAUAUUGGUAUGUUUGGCUUUGCAGUAAACAAACGCAAAAACCCAACACAGAUCUGGAUUUUUGAGAACUUCCAAAAAAUUGAGGUGUUAAGACAUUAGGUUCUGGUUGAUCCCAUUUGUAAUAAUAAUAAAUAGUAAUUUAGUUCUGAUUCUAUAAAAAUACACAUUACAGCUAUAUUCUUAGCUAUUAAGCAGGGUGUUGCUAUGCUUGUGGUGUCAGUUCAUUAUAUAAUAGAGGCUUAAACUUGUCAUCUUUUAAUUAUGUCUUAGAAGAUUGUAUCCAGUAAGUUUAUCAUAUCAGAAAGGAUGAGUCUCAGAAAGACACAAAUGCGAAAACAAAUACGAGUUUUCCUCAGUGAGACAGGUACUUAUUGUUGUAGCUGUAGGUGCUUUUCUGGGGAAAUAUUUUCACUUCCAUCAAUCUUUUGUAAGAGAAGGAAAAGCCCCUGAUGCUCUUAGACUACAAUUGUGCAAUGAAAGAACGAUAUUACUAAAUAAAACUGAUCAAUGAUGAUACAGAGAAACCCUCCUUAAACUGCUAAUUUACUAUGUUUUGUCUCAGAAUAAAACCAAAUUUGAAAGCA